rnacentral:rRNA from 1 species
UACGUAGGGUGCGAGCGUUAAUCGGAAUUACUGGGCGUAAAGCGUGCGUAGGUGGUUUGAUAAGUUAUCUGUGAAAGCCCUGGGCUCAACCUGGGAAGGCCAGAUAAGACUGUUAGACUAGAGUAUGGGAGAGGGUAGUGGAAUUUCCGGUGUAGCGGUGAAAUGCGUAGAGAUCGGGAGGAACACCAGUGGCGAAGGCGGCCAUCUGGGACAACACUGACGCUGAGGCACGAAAGCGUGGGGAGCAAACAGG